GCUCUUCAUGUCGCCAUGUAGUCUGUGUAGUCGGGCGUCCGCCAUUAACGCAAUUUCCAUUCGCCAUCUUCUCUUUCCCGCUUUGCUCCGGCUUACGUGUAGUUUGCGUGAUUACCUUGCAAUUCGUCACGGAGUUCCGUACUUUCUGCUUUUCACGACGAGAAUAACGAGGCGCCAUGAGCUACGGCAGGCCACCGCCUCGCAUCGACGGUAUGGUUUCUCUGAAAGUCGACAAUCUAACGUAUCGAACGACGCCGGAAGAUUUGAGGCGGGUGUUCGAGAGAUGCGGCGAGGUCGGCGACAUUUACAUCCCCCGGGAUCGCUUUACGCGCGAGAGUCGUGGCUUCGCGUUUGUCAGAUUUUACGACAAGCGCGAUGCUGAAGAUGCAUUGGAUGCUAUGGAUGGAAGACUGUUAGAUGGGAGGGAACUGAGAGUUCAAAUGGCACGUUAUGGUCGUCCUACGUCGCCGCAUCGAAGUCGUGGAAGUCGUCGGCGCGGAAGAUCACGAAGCAGAAGCAGAGAUCGACGUCGCUCUCGAUCACGAUCUCGUAGUAGGUCGCGUAGUCGUGAUAGAGAUCGUAGGCGCUCGUACAGUCGCAGCCGUAGUCGCUCUCGUUCUGAUAGCAAGAGCUCGCGUGGAAAGUCACGCUCUCGCAGCAAAUCUCAGGACAGGCAAAAAGACAGCCGUUCCAAGUCAAGGGACUGAAAUUGUCGACAGAGUGUGUAACAGGAUAAGAAUGAGAGUGCGUGAGCGUCCAACGAGAAUGCCGAACAAUCUAUGUUGAGAUUGAAAAAGGCGGUGGAAAGGAGUGGCGUGACGCGUGUAGCAGAUGAUGGGGUAGCUGAGAGUAAGCAGUAUACGGAGUAGCAGGGGGCUGUAAGCAGUUCGCAGUAGCGAGAGAGAGAGCGCUGUUGAUGGUGCGGUGCGGUACGGUGCGAUGCGGCGCGGUGCGGUGCGGUCCGGUCCGUUCCGGUCUGAUGGUCUGGUGAUCCGGUGAUUUGUGGAAGGCGGGUUUGCGAGAGGUCAGGGCGAAAGAGAGUGAACGUGCGAGCAAGAGGGAGAGAGAGAAAGAAAGAGAGAAUGGGGGAGUGAGAGAUUUGAAAGAGGGAAUAGAAGCCAAAUGAUCAUCUGCAAGCUAUAUAAAAACAAAAUGUGAUUUUGUUGCUGGCUUGUUCGGACGACGUCCGGAGCGCAACAUCGGGUUCUAGCAUCACGCGACAGGCCAUCACCAGACCAGACCUCGCGAACAGAGGUGCCUGAUUCAUAAAACAUCGUAAUCAUCGAUCGAGCAUCGGUAAACGCAGUCACACGACACGGUAAACUAUAGUAGACCAUAGCACUCACAUCAUUGUGCCCUGAGAGUGGCAGCUCUACAGAUAGUAGCCUUUGGUCUAGCUUAUGAGAUCUUGGUAAACGCGAAUCUACUAAAUAUAGGAAAGUUUGGCUAAUCGGUCGAGUAUUUUAGAUAAGACCUCCAUAUUCUCUUGAAAUUGAAUAUAUAAGAAACUUUCAUAUUUCUUAGGAACUAAGUACGAAAUAUUAUAUUAUCGAAGUAUCUUUUUCUCAACGCGAUUUGUUAAAAGCUGCUUAAUUUUCACUGUCGUACAACUAUAAAUUUUAAUUAGAGUCACUGGUGUCUUAAAAAAAUUUUACCUCAAUUGAUUCUUAGCUUAUUGUUAGAUUAUCUUUCCACUAUAGAGCUGCCUUCGACAGUGCUUGUCGCGUGUCAUUCAUGAGCCAUCUUUUAUUUCAUUCUCGUCAUACAUGCAUACACACAACAUAUACAUAUAUAUAUUGAAUACGGUUAUUAUAGAAAAUGUCUCAUUUAUUUUGAUUAUUUAAAGUUAUCUUGAUUUAAUGUUAAAAUAUUUUUUUAUUUCAAAGUAAUUUUUAAAGAUAAAACGUUAAAUGGAGCAACGGAUUGGAGAAUAGGAUUUGGAUGACAUGAAAAUCACUAUCUUAAUAUCUAAAUCUUAAUAUGCGAUAUAUAUUAUCCACGUGAAACCGUAUAAUUAUAGUUCCCGUUUUAUAUCGAAAGCACCGCGGACAGUGUGAAAUGAUACAUAUACUUUAUAUAUAUUUUAGUUAACUUUUGCAUUUUCACAUCAUUGGUUGUUUCGCAGUUCACUCUUUGAUUUUCUUGAAAUUUAAUAAAAAUAUCUCAAAUGAAUAUAUGCGGCAGGAUUUUAGAUGUUUCACAAAAUAGUCUUUGCUAACGUUUAUAGAUAUUUCAUUUUUACUCUAUAUUGUAAAUUCAUUAAUUUAAAAAAUUUAUGGGUCAAAUAAAUUUGAUCUUAUUAAGAUAUUUAAUCAAGUAAAAUUAAAAAUUUCUCUUUUAAACAUUAUUUUGAUUAAAAAACAUUUCACUAAAUUUUCCAUUAAAAUUUCAUUUAUUUUGACUACACCCAUUAAAAAUUCCAUUAUGCUCAUUUGAGAAUAUUUUCACUCGAUUUCAUGAAAAUCGGAGAAGGGACAUUUUCGGAACUACCCUCACAUUUUUUAAUCAUAAAUAAUCAUAUGUUCUUGAUUUAUCGCGUGUAUUAGCAAAUGCUACAAGUAAUACCGAUAAUAUUAGGAGAGUUGAGUUCAGAAAGGUUUAAAAUGCAUGUAGGUGGAAUUUUCAAGCGUUCGAAUGGAAUUGAUGUACUGAGUUAACACAUGAGAUGACGAUGCUAUUGCAUUAUUUCUCAGUCCCGAGCAAUCGCUACACAUCACGUAUCUGCGAAAGAUUUAAUGCUCGCGACGGCGUCACACCGACCGAAGAGAUUUGAAGGGGAUGUGUUUUGUAUGAAGCUUUCUCUCCAAAUAUUUUACCAUGUCUUUCUUUCAGGUCUAAAAAAUGUGAAUCUGCUUACGGGGCUAUGUAAGUAUUUAUAUGUGAGAUAUUUUAAAAGUGACAUGAAACAUUUCAUCGUAUCGAAACGACAAUGAAUUGUGGAGAUGUGCAAAGAUUAAUAAAAAGUCUGGUGUUAGGUAAACAAAUAUACUUUUAUUGCUCUUCUUGA